ACAAGGAUUGCCUUGGCUAAAGUCUUACUAAAUUGAAGCAUAAAGCAUUUUCUUCAAUCCUUUGUAGUGGUCAAUUCUAUCUUGACUCACGCACCGACUUCACAAGUACGUGACUGUGCCCAAAAAUCUUUCGAUUCUGAAUUAAAAAUUUAAAUAGUUUGGCACCAAAGCACAGUGAGUUGCUUGCAAGUCACCGUAGUGAUCUC
rnacentral:lncRNA from 1 species